CACAAGCGGUGGAGCACGUGGUUUAAUUCGAUCGCAAACCGAAGAACCUUAACCUGGGUUUUGACAUGUACGUGUUACUGAGGUGAAAGCUGAGGGACCACAUCUUCGGAUGAGGAGCGUACACAGGUGCUGCAUGGCUGUCGUCAGCUCGUGUCGUGAGAUGUUGGGUUAAGUCCCAUAACGAGCGCAACCCCUAUCAUUAGUUGCCAUCAGGUCAAGCUGGGGACUCUAAUGAAACUGCCUACGCAAGUAGUGAGGAAGGUGGGGAUGACGUCAAAUCAGCACGGCCCUUACGUCCAGGGCUACACACGUGCUACAAUGGCCGGUACAAAGGGCAGCUACCUGGUGACAGGAUGCUAAUCUCAAAAGCCGGUCUCAGUUCGGAUCGGAGUCUGCAACCCGACUCCGUGAAGCUGGAUUCGCUAGUAAUCGCGCAUCAGCCACGGCGCGGUGAAUACGUUCCCGGGCCUU
rnacentral:rRNA from 1 species